rnacentral:rRNA from 1 species
CCUACGGGUGGCAGCAGUGAGGAAUAUUGGUCAAUGGACGAGAGUCUGAACCAGCCAAGUAGCGUGAAGGAUGACUGCCCUAUGGGUUGUAAACUUCUUUUAUAUGGGAAUAAAACGUUCCACGUGUGGGAUUUUGUAUGUACCGUAUGAAUAAGGAUCGGCUAACUCCGUGCCAGCAGCCGCGGUAAUACGGAGGAUCCGAGCGUUAUCCGGAUUUAUUGGGUUUAAAGGGAGCGUAGGUGGAUUGUUAAGUCAGUUGUGAAAGUUUGCGGCUCAACCGUAAAAUUGCAGUUGAAACUGGCAGUCUUGAGUACAGUAGAGGUGGGCGGAAUUCGUGGUGUAGCGGUGAAAUGCUUAGAUAUCACGAAGAACUCCGAUUGCGAAGGCAGUUCACUGGACUGCAACUGACACUGAGGCUCGAAAGUGUGGGUAUCAAACAGGAUUAGAUACCCUUGUAGUC